UCCAAGGCUCUGACUACUCGUCUUCCGGGCUCAACCCUCGUCUCCUCGCAAGAGUUCGUCCCCAAAGCCCCGUCCGCAGAGUCUCACCACCCCUCAGGGACGUCCACCUGGAGCCCCGGGCGCCUCUUCCUCCCCUUCCCCGCUCCCUGCACUCCGCCCAACCCCUUCCCAGAUCCGGCUCACUCCGCCCCAGCCUCUUUCUCAAGUUCCCAGGCCCGGGGCUCCUCUCGGACAACCUCCUCCCGCACUGUGGCCGUUCCUGAGGCCUGUCUCUUCCCUCUGCUGCCUUCCUCAAGACCCAGCCCCAUUCAGUCCCCGGUGCACCUGGCAGGACCCACCCGGAGGCCUCGCCCUCACCUUCCCAGUAAUUGCUGGUUCCCGCCGCCAUCUUUGUUGCCCAACGUCAGUCGGGGCAGGAGAGUAGAGGCGUUGCGGGCCAGAGCGUCACCUCCACGCCUUCUUCCACCCAGAGCGCCAGGGCUGAUGGGAUGUGCGAGUCUCCGUAGAUAGCUCCACCUGGUGGACAGUUCGCUAUUUUACAGCCUGAAGUGGCACGUUAGAAAACUUCGGUUUAACUUAUGAUGCUGCCUGAAUCUGUCUUUUUACGGCCUCCAUCUUCGAUUCGUUCGUCUAGGGCUUGUUCCUCUUUUUAGCAGCUGGAAGGCCAAUCAUUCCCAUUCCCCUUCCCAAUAUAAAGAUCUGCCUGUGGUGGGGACGGCUCAUUGGCAGUGUCACCUAAGAGAAGACUUUCUUCCUGGAGCCCUUUUGUGGAUCAGAGGCUCCAACUGACUGUUUCUGUUCUCCAGGCUUCUGCAGUUGCUUUCUGCUGGAUGACAUCCUAACCCAAAAGCCUGUUUGACGCUGGGCUCUUCCAGAAACAAUAUGAUCAUCACAAGUGACAGUGUGUACAGAUGCUGGAGUCAUGGGAAAUACUUGGAAUUCUAACAGGUGGUGAUGCUCAGGCUGAACCAUGAACCCUGGGCCUUCUACAUGGUAGGCCACUGCUUUACCACUGAGCUACACCCCCAGCUCUAGCUCUAGCAGCCUAAACUUCCCUUACACCUCCUUCACUUUGGCUCAACCUCAAUAACAAUCCUAGAAUAUGAACAA